rnacentral:rRNA from 1 species
UACGUAGGGGGCGAGCGUUGUCCGGAUUUAUUGGGCGUAAAGAGCUCGUAGGCGGUUCCACAAGUCGGAUAUGAAAUCUCCACGCUUAACGUGGAGGGGUUAUUCGAUACUGUGGUGACUAGAGUCCGGUAGGGGAGUGUGGAAUUCCCGGUGUAGCGGUGAAAUGCGCAGAUAUCGGGAGGAACACCAGUAGCGAAGGCGACGCUCUGGGCCGGUACUGACGCUGAGGAGCGAAAGCGUGGGGAGCAAACAGG